rnacentral:lncRNA from 10 species
UAGCUCACAUCUGUAAUCCUAGCACUUUGGGAAGCUGAGGUGGGCAGAUCACCUGAGGUUGGGAGUUCGAGACCAGCCUGACCAACAUGGAGAAUCGCCGUCUCUACUAAAAAUACAAAAUUAGCCGGGUGUGGUGGCGCAUGUCUGUAAUCCCAGCUACUCGAGAGGCUGAGGCAGGAGAAUCGCUUGAACCCGGGAGGCGGAGGUUGCGGUGAGCCUAGAUCACGCCAUUGCACUCCAGCCUGAACAACAAGAGCGAAACUCCAUCUCAAAACAAAACCAAAAACAAACAAAAAAAACUUUUUUGUUAAGUUUUGCCACAUAAACAAUUUUAGAGAAAAUACCUGACAAUAGUUAAUGAUUAUUUGUUGUAGGCAAUAAUGGUCUAAGCACUUUAUAUAUAUUAACAUUUAAUCCUCACAACUACUCUAUGAAUUAGCUAUUCUUAUUGUCCUCAUUGUACAGAUGAAGAAAUAGAGGCACAGAGUGGCCAAGUAACCUCAAGUCACACACACAAGCUCAACUUUUAAGUAUUUAAAUAUACUUCAAAUAUAUUUCUAAAGGAGUCUUUAACAGAAAAAAGUACUGACUCCAUGUACUUUGCUGCUGCUUUUGUGAUCCCUGUUGAAGUGACUUCAAGAAGUGACAAUGAUGCCAGGCAUUUGGUUAAGUAUGAUGUGGUGAG